GGCCAAGUACAGACAACCACAGCUCAAUGGAAGGUCCAAGCUCACAGUCAAACUGCUCAGGAAUACAAUGCAAACCAGCUACAGCUGCUUCCUCCAACCCAUUGCUGCUUGGCCUGGGCCCCACCGGCCCCUACAGGCGUUAGAAAAACAGUCACUUUUUAUUUCUAGACACCAGGAUUUCCAACUGGUUUGAUUGCUCAAUGUCCCAUUUCAGCACAGCAGCCUGUCCACGAUGAGCAUCUCCAGGCUCUUCCUGUGAGCAUGUUGUAAUAUGGGAAGCACCUUGCUUUGCAUGGUCACCAGCUGAAGGACAUCUCCCUGCCCCAAAGAGCUGGCCAGUCCUAACGCCAAGGAAACCUCUGUAUGCCUCAUGAAGGAAGCUUGAUGGGAUAACUCACCUGCCAUCAUCUUUGGCAGAGCUCAAAGAUUUGGAUUUCUAGUCUACCUUGCUCGUGGUUCUUGGUUCAUGCAUCAAAUCACAGCCUUCAUAAAAUCAACCCUGUGCAGGCCAGGAACCACAAACUGCAACGUGAUUUUGAAUUUUGAAACAAGCUGUGAAUCUCAAUGGCAUUAAUUAGCAAGUGAUGCUGGAUGGUGGAGGGGAGCCCCUCGCACUUGCACAGCAGCCCCCACUGGGAAGAAGCACGUAGGUGGAAGCAACACGGGGCUUUGAAACAAGUGAUUCCCUCGCCUGGAUCUUUCUGUUCUGUAUUUCUUUUGAGCAGUAACCACUUCUCCCUGAGAUAAAUCUGGCUCAUGGACACAUCUGCAGGGUGCUGGAGGUGGUGUGUCUGCAGGUUGGUCUUCCCAGUGAGAAUGGUUAUAGAACAGGGA